UACAGAGGGUGCGAGCGUUAAUCGGAAUUACUGGGCGUAAAGCGUGCGUAGACGGUUAUUUAAGUCGGGUGUGAAAGCCCCGGGCUCAACCUGGGAAUUGCAUUCGAGACUGAAUAGCUAGGGUACGGUAGAGGGAAGUGGAAUUUCCGGUGUAGCGGUGAAAUGCGUAGAUAUCUGGAGGAACACCCGUGGCGAAGGCGGCUCUCUGGGACGGUACUGACGCUGAGACGCGAAAGCGUGGGGAGCGAACAGG
rnacentral:rRNA from 1 species